rnacentral:rRNA from 1 species
CCUACGGGAGGCAGCAGUGGGGAAUCUUGCGCAAUGGGCGAAAGCCUGACGCAGCAACGCCGCGUGCGGGAAGAAGGCCCUAGGGUUGUAAACCGCUUUCAGUAGGAACGAAAAUGACGGUACCUGCAGAAGAAGGUGCGGCCAACUACGUGCCAGCAGCCGCGGUGACACGUAGGCACCAAGCGUUGUCCGGAUUUAUUGGGCGUAAAGAGCUCGUAGGCGGUUCAGUAAGUCGGGUGUGAAAACUCUGGGCUUAACCCAGAGCCGCCACUCGAUACUGCUGUGACUUGAGUUCGGUAGGGGAGCAGGGAAUUCCUAGUGUAGCGGUGAAAUGCGCAGAUAUUAGGAGGAACACCGGUGGCGAAGGCGCUGCUCUGGGCCGAUACUGACGCUGAGGAGCGAAAGCGUGGGUAGCAAACAGGAUUAGAUACCCUGGUAGUCCACGCCGUAAACGUUGGGCACUAGGUGUGGGUUCCAACCAACGGAAUCCGCGCCGUCGCUAACGCAUUAAGUGCCCGCCUGGGGAGUACGGCGGCAACGCUAAACGUCAAAUGAAUUGACGGCUGAGAGUUGCGAGGCGACGACGAGGGAGAGG